AUUGAACGCUGGCGGCAUGCCUUACACAUGCAAGUCGAACGGCAGCGGACCUUCGGGUGCCGGCGAGUGGCGAACGGGUGAGUAAUAUAUCGGAACGUACCUUUCAGUGGGGGAUAACGUAGCGAAAGUUACGCUAAUACCGCAUAUUCUGUGAGCAGGAAAGCAGGGGAUCGCAAGACCUUGCGCUGAUUGAGCGGCCGAUAUCAGAUUAGCUAGUUGGUGAGGUAAAGGCUCACCAAGGCGACGAUCUGUAGCGGGUCUGAGAGGAUGAUCCGCCACACUGGAACUGAGACACGGUCCAGACUCCUACGGGAGGCAGCAGUGGGGAAUUUUGGACAAUGGGCGCAAGCCUGAUCCAGCCAUGCCGCGUGAGUGAAGAAGGCCUCGGUUGUAAGCUCUUCGUCCGGGACGAAGUACGCACAGGUAAUACCUCGUGUGGAUGACGGUACCGGAAGUAAGAAGACACCGGC
rnacentral:rRNA from 1 species